rnacentral:lncRNA from 1 species
AAAAUUAAGACCUGAGGUGCAGGAGUAAAUGUACUUAUCACUUGAGCUACGAGCUCUUUGCAUUUUUACCCUAUAAUCGUGGGCAGCUUUCAUCCUCCCUUUUAAUCUCAUCAUCACUUUCAUUCUCACUCUCAUUUUCCUCUAUACUCUAGCACAAAGAAUAAAAUCUAAAAACUAAAAUUGAAAUAGUUAUCAAACAACCCUAAACUUAUAAUAAUUGAUAAUAGUGGGAUAAUAUCGUUAAGAGUGUUUUUAAUUUUUAUUUUCAAAUUUGUUAAGUAUUCAAU